CUCCUGUGCAGGGCUUGAGUUUGCGAUCACCCAGCUGAAGUCUGUUGUCCUGGCGAUCGGGGUGAUUGACAGACAUCUGAGUGUGGAACAGGCUGUGCUGCUCUCCAGACUGGAGGAGGAAUACCAGAUAAAAUACUGGGGAAACGUGGAGUGGGCCCAUGACUACGAAAGUUAUGAGCUGAGGGCACGGACUGCUGCUGGAGCUCUUUUUGUUCACCUCUCAUCUGAGAGUUCAACUGUCAAACGCAAACUUAUGCAGAAUUGAAAAGUGUGUGCGCCCUUAAACUGAGAACACCUCAGUUUAUCCAUGCUUCUUCAUCCAUUCAGACAAACACACAUACACCCUGCUUGUUCUGUUUAGCAGUGACAGCUGCUGUGUCUGUGAUCUGUUAUAGAGUCAUCUCACUCCAGUGAAAACAUUGGCUAUCUUUCUGCAGUGUUUAUACGUGGCAGCUGCCAAGUGUGCCACCCCUCACCGAGUUUCCAGCCGGUUCUCAGUCGCCCGUGACAUUUUGGGCACUGCGCAUGGUUUCAGGAGGAUUAUGACUAAUGCUGUUGUCUAUUUGGUGGAUGAAUGUUAACUCCAUGUCUGCCUUCUGUCUGCCACAUUUGAAUACUGCAAAGUGCAUAUGCUAUUGUAAUAGGAGCAACAGAUGGAACAUACUGCAUUCCAAUUAUUUUCUGUAAUUUAAAUUCAUUCAUGUUUUAGGUAUUUUGGCUUUUUUGUGGUAACUAAUGAGGUAAAAGAUCAUGUACAUGGAUUAGCAUCAUCUCCACUUCACAGUUCUGUUUCUUCAAAAAGUAGUAUUUAAGCAGAAAAGUAUAUUUUCUGCAUCCUCAUACAGUAGUCAUGUUCACAUACAGUGCUGAAGGUGUUGUUGCUUUCCCGACUGGAAAUAAAUUCAAAGAAUGGCUUGUUUGUCUGUGCCCUUUCCACCUAUUGUAAGCAAAAUGUCAGUAAACUUUAUUGUGAAUUAAAACCCCAACAAUUCAAAA